rnacentral:ncRNA from 1 species
AUAUAUCAAGGGCAAACCUAUUGAAAGGUAGGGACGCAAAGCCAUGGGUCUAAGGUUCCUACGAACUACGAAAGCCAGGUUGCAGGU